AUCUAUAAUGUUAAAUAUUGCACUCUAUACUGAAUACAAUGUAAUAGCAAAAAAUGAUUUUAUUGAUCAUCUGCUACAGUGUUUCAAUCACCUUUGCUAAUUUUUUAUAAUAUAAAACAUUAAGUAAAUGUAUUAAGUGAGAUCAAGAUGAUUGCAUAAGUCCAUGGUUAAAAUUAUUUCUCUAAUUUCUUUCUGAGCAGUAAUCAGGAUACUCUCCUUUGAUGAAUCUUAAUGCCUUAACUAUGGAACACCGCCCCAGAUCAUCAUGGGUGUUUAUCUAAAAAUCAGUGCAACUGGGAAGUAUUAAGCCUCGAGGGCUAGAACUAUCAGAUUCUUCACAUCAGAAAUAUUUAGAAUAAAGGUAAACCCAGCAUAUGUUAGAGCUAGUUUAGAAGAUUCCAGCGUAUGUGUAAUAAAGAAAUAGCAGCCAGUGAGACACAAACACAUCAGUCAGAUGUCCCUAUGGGACACCACAUGGUGUAGGCCUCCAAAGUGAGGGGGUGAAGUGGUCUCCCCAGCCUUUGCAUUUGGUAUCAAUCUGCAUACACAAAUCAAUGUUAUAAGAUUUAUUCCACAAACAUUUAUUACAAGCCUACUACGUGUCAAUGCUAUGCUAAUUGUUAUUUCUUUUUUUAAUGAAGAUUCUUUUGCUUUCUGGGGCACAUUCCUUUAGUGCAGGGUGAUUAAAGUUGCAGGUUAAAUUAAUAUUAGUAAUGAGCUAAUCUUACCCUUGGGAGCUUGUCCAGCUGGGCCCAAGGUAAUCACAAGGCCCUUAAAAGUGAAAAAGGGAAUCCAAAGAGAAAACCAGAGAGAAGGCAGCAUGAGAAGAAUUAAGCUCAAUGUCACUGGCUUUGCAGAUGUAUGAACGGGGCACAGAGAAGGAAUAAGUGCAGCUUCUAGAAGCUGACAGGGGCAAGAGGACUGAUUGUCCCUUGGAGCCUGCAGAAAGAACAUAGCCAUUCCAACAUCUUAAUUUUAGCCCAUCGAGACCCAUUUUGGACUUCUGACCUCCAAAAGUAUAUGAGGCUCAGGGAGUAGCUGAUAAAACUGGUUCUACAUAUGCCGACGUCAGCUCCUAAAGCGACCCUUCAGGCAUACCUGUGGAAUUAUUUUAAUUCCAAAUCCUCCAAAAGGAACUCAAUUGUCAUAAGUUCCCUCGGGCGUUCCAUCCACUGGGGAGAAGGAUUAUCGUCUCUGGAGAGGAGAUCGCAAGUGGACAGUGACGGGGUUGAGGGUGGGCCGCCCCAAGAUGUACCACUCUGGGAUGCAGGCUGUUUCGAGCUGAAGACCACAAAGGUUCAAAAGACUCAGGAAGAGCAUCCGACCUUCACCCCUCAAACUGCCUAAAGGACUUGAACAGACAAGGCCUGUUCCAGGAAGGGGCUCAUAUCGGGUGAUAGCUAUAGCAUGAUGUAAAAUAGGUGUGAUAAAAGGACACCAGCAAACCCAUUUUUUGGGCCUAGCAAAACCUGUUUAACAAACAUUUGCAUUCCAUCUCUAGGUAGAUUGUUUUCCUCCCGUUUGAAGUCCCAGAUCACUGUGUCCUCCUGGUCUGUAGCUGAGGAUACUUAAACGGGUGGACUCAGCCAGAUGGCAGAGUUACUCAGUUUCCUCUGGUUUUCUCCCAUGUAUACAUGCCAUUAAUUUGUUUGAUUUUCUCUUGCUAACCUGCCUCUUUGAUUAUUUAACCAGCCAUAAGAACCUUAAGGAAAAGUGGUGGGGGCAAUUCUCCUACUUCCCCGACAACAGCACACCCAGACAAACUGUGUCACAAACCGUCACACCCCCAUCUAUUCUUCUAAGAGCCCAUUCAUCUUUCCUAAAAACUGUGCUUUCCCUAAGAGCCUGACGUCUCCUCUCCUCUUUCCUAGUAAGAUGGCGUUUAAUCCUGAAUUCUAAGAGUUACUCAUUUUUCCCUGGGUGUCACCCAUGUUUGUUUUUCUUGUUAAUCUGUCUUUUAUUAUAGGAGUGUCAGUUAAGAACUCAGAAAUGAAAAGGGAAAAUUAUUUUUCUUCCCCUACAGUGAAAUAAUGGGGAAGAUGUGGAAUGUGAAACCACUUUUACUGCUCCAAUGGAAUCCUAGAUUUGUAUAAACAUUCUUUCAUAAAGCACAUCAAGCUCAUAAUAAGAUGAGAUAUCUGCUGUUUCUGCUGUCUGGCUGUUCUUUUAGAUAUUAUUUAAAUUAAAAUUAUCGAAGUCAUCCAAAAGUCUCUGAAGUAUUUCUGUGAGUUCACUCUCCCAACAAUGAGCUAUAACUGAAAAAUGAUGCCAUUCCUGGAAUUCAGAAAAAUAUGAUCUUCAUGAAUCAUUGGAAGUUUCCAGUGGCAAUAGAAAUUCUGAACCGAAGACACAUAACUUAGAACAUCUGUCAGUGAAUGAUGACUUCCCUCACAACUAUGCAGCAGCAUCCAUGAUCAAUUGUGCAUGAGCUGAGUCAAGGUGGAGCUCAGCCAAGACCUUCACCCCACA
ensembl:lncRNA